rnacentral:rRNA from 1 species
CAGCACCUCAAGUGGUCAGGAUGAUUAUUGGGCCUAAAGCAUCCGUAGCCGGCUCUGUAAGUUUUCGGUUAAAUCUGUACGCUCAACGUACAGGCUGCCGGGAAUACUGCAGAGCUAGGGAGUGGGAGAGGUAGACGGUACUCGGUAGGAAGGGGUAAAAUCCUUUGAUCUAUUGAUGACCACCUGUGGCGAAGGCGGUCUACCAGAACACGUCCGACGGUGAGGGAUGAAAACUGGGGGAGCAAACCGGAUUAGAGACCCGUGUAGUCC